rnacentral:rRNA from 1 species
CCUACGGGAGGCAGCAGUGGGGAAUAUUGCGCAAUGGGCGAAAGCCUGACGCAGCGACGCCGCGUGAGGGAUGAAGGUCUUCGGAUCGUAAAACUCUGUCAGCAGGGAAGAACGGUCACUGUGCUAAUCAGCAGGGAAUUGACCGUACCUGCAAAGGAAGCACCGUCUAACCCCGUGCCAGCAGCCGCGGUAAUACGGCGGGUGCGAGCGUUAAUCGGAUUGACUGGGGGUAAGGCGCUCGUAGGCGGUAUGUCAAGUCAAGGGUGAAAUCCCCGCGCUCAACGUGGGAACUGCCGUUGAAACUGGCAAACUAGAGUGUGUGAGAGGAGAGCGGAAUUCGUGGUGUAGGAGUGAAAUCCGUAGAUAUCUGGAGGAACAUCAGUGGCGAAGGCGACUAUCUGGCACAUAACUGACGCUGAGGAGCGAAAGCGUGGGUAGCAAACAGGAUUAGAUACCCCUGUAGUC